rnacentral:sRNA from 1 species
GUCAUGGCAAAAUCCAUGGCCCGGUUUCGCAGCCGGAAUUACAGUAAGGCGUGCAAGCGCCUCAAAUUCGUAUGGCGCUUUUUUU